AUCCCUGUAGCGCAAUGGAUAGCACGUUGGUCUUCUAAUCCAAGGUCAUGGGUUCGAAUUCCACCUGAGAUU
rnacentral:tRNA from 1 species